AGAUACCCUAGUAUGAAUUAUUUGUUAGAUUAGUAUUAAUUGAAAUUUAAAGAUUUUGGCGGUUAAUUAUAAAUUAGAGGAGCUUGUUUUAUAGAAUUAACUCUUUAUAUUUUAUGAUUAUUUUGUUUAUUUAUCUCCGUUAUUAGAAUUGAAGUUUGAAGAAAAUGAAUUUUUUAUUUCAGGUCAAGAUGUAGCAAUUGAUUUAUGUAAUUAGCUACAUUUAUAAAGUAGAUGAAUUUAUUUAAGUAUCUAUAUGAUGAAAUUGAAUUUAAGUGUAAUAUUGUUUAAAAUGAUACUGUGAAUUAGUGUAAUUAAUGUACAUAUUGCCCGUCACUUCUGUUGGUAAAACAGGAUAAGUCGUAACAA
rnacentral:rRNA from 1 species